CAGCAGCCGCGGUAAUACGAAGGGGGCUAGCGUUGUUAGGAUUUACUGGGCGUAAAGCGCACGUAGGCGGAUCGAUCAGUCAGGGGUGAAAUCCCAGAGCUCAACUCUGGAACUGCCUUUGAUACUGUCGAUCUGGAGUAUGGAAGAGGUGAGUGGAAUUCCGAGUGUAGAGGUGAAAUUUGUAGAUAUUCGGAGGAACACCAGUGGCGAAGGCGGCUCACUGGUCCAUUACUGACGCUGAGGUGCGAAAGCGUGGGGAGCAAACAGGAUUAGAUACCCGCGUAGUCCCUGUCUCUUAUAC
rnacentral:rRNA from 1 species